AGACUCAAUCCCUCGGGUUUCUGAGGAGGUUGGAUUUGGGUGCUUGCCUUCUGGCUCGCCUUAAAGGACUUAGCAGGAUAGCACUGUAGUCGACGUAAUAAGUCUCGUUGGUGAAAGUGUGAUGUCUGCUUACAAAUUGCCCUUGGGCACUUUUGA
rnacentral:misc_RNA from 1 species